rnacentral:rRNA from 1 species
UACGGAGGGUGCGAGCGUUAAUCGGAAUUACUGGGCGUAAAGGGUGCGUAGGUGGUUUGAUAAGUUAUCUGUGAAAGCCCUGGGCUCAACCUGGGAAGGCCAGAUAAGACUGUUAGACUAGAGUAUGGGAGAGGGUAGUGGAAUUUCCGGUGUAGCGGUGAAAUGCGUAGAGAUCGGAAGGAACACCAGUGGCGAAGGCGGCUACCUGGCCUAAUACUGACACUGAAGUACGAAAGCGUGGGGAGCAAACAGG